rnacentral:rRNA from 1 species
UACGAACUGUGCGAACGUUAUUCGGAAUCACUGGGCUUACAGGGUGCGUAGGCGGCCUGACAAGUAGGGUGUGAAAGCCCCCGGUUUAACCGGGGAAUGGCGCCCUAAACUGUCGGGCUGGAGUGAGAUAGGGGUGUGCGGAACUUCCGGUGGAGCGGUGAAAUGUGUUGAUAUCGGAAGGAACGCCGGUGGCGAAAGCGGCACGCUGGAUCUCAACUGACGCUGAGGCACGAAAGCCAGGGGAGCGAACGGG